rnacentral:rRNA from 1 species
AUUGAACGCUGGCGGCAUGCCUUACACAUGCAAGUCGAACGGUAACAGGUCUUCGGAUGCUGACGAGUGGCGAACGGGUGAGUAAUACAUCGGAACGUGCCCGAUCGUGGGGGAUAACGCAGCGAAAGCUGUGCUAAUACCGCAUACGAUCUACGGAUGAAAGCGGGGGAUCGCAAGACCUCGCGCGAAUGGAGCGGCCGAUGUCAGAUUAGGUAGUUGGUGGGGUAAAGGCUCACCAAGCCAACGAUCUGUAGCUGGUCUGAGAGGACGACCAGCCACACUGGAACUGAGACACGGUCCAGACUCCUACGGGAGGCAGCAGUGGGGAAUUUUGGACAAUGGGCGCAAGCCUGAUCCAGCCAUUCCGCGUGCAGGAUGAAGGCCUUCGGGUUGUAAACUGCUUUUGUUACGGAACGAAACGGUCUGCCCUAAUACGGCGGGCUAAUGACGGUACCGUAAGAAUAAGCACCGGCUAACUACGUGCCAGCAGCCGAC